rnacentral:rRNA from 1 species
GGAUUCCCCUAGUAACGGCGAGUGAAGCGGGAAAAGCUCAAAUUUAAAAUCUGGCGGUCUACGGUCGUCCGAGUUGUAGUCUAGAGAGGUGUUUUCCGUGCCGGACCAUGCACAAGUCCCUUGGAACAGGGCGUCAUAGAGGGUGAGAAUCCCGUCCGUGGCAUGGACUCCCGGUGCUCUGUGAUGCGCCUUCGAAGAGUCGAGUUGUUUGGGAAUGCAGCUCAAAACGGGUGGUAAAUUCCAUCUAAAGCUAAAUACAGGCGAGAGACCGAUAGCGAACAAGUACCGUGAGGGAAAGAUGAAAAGCACUUUGGAAAGAGAGUUAAACAGUACGUGAAAUUGUUGAAAGGGAAACGCUUGGAGUCAGUCGCGUUUGCCGGGACUCAGCCUUGCUUUUGCUUGGUGCACUUCCUGGUACACGGGCCAGCAUCGAUUUCGAUCGCCGGAAAAAGGCUUGGGGAAGGUGGCACCUCCGGGUGUGUUAUAGCCCCUCGUUGUAUACGGUGGUUGGGAUUGAGGACCGCAGCACGCCUUUUGGUCGGGGUUCGCCCACGCCACGUGCUUAGGAUGCUGGCGUAAUGGCUUUAAACGACCCGUCUUGAAACACGGACCAAGGAGUCUAACAUGCCUGCGAGUGUUUGGGUGUAAAACCCAGGCGCGUAAUGAAAGUGAAAGGUUGGGACUCUUCGCUGAGGCACCGACGCCCGAUCCUGACGUUCUCCGACGGAUUUGAGGUAGAGCAUGUAUGUUGGGACCCGAAAGAUGGUGAACUAUGCCUGAAUAGGGCGAAGCCAGAGGAAACUCUGGUGGAGGCUCGUAGCGAUUCUGACGUGCAAAUCGAUCGUCAAAUUUGGGUAUAGGGGCGAAAGACUAAUCGAACCAUCUAGUAGCUGGUUCCUGCCGAA